GAUGAACGCUGGCGGCGUGCCUAAUACAUGCAAGUCGAGCGAACGGACGAGAAGCUUGCUUUUCUGAUGUUAGCGGCGGACGGGUGAGUAACACGUGGAUAACCUACCUAUAAGACUGGGAUAACUUCGGGAAACCGGAGCUAAUACCGGAUAAUAUUUUGAACCGCAUGGUUCAAAAGUGAAAGACGGUCUUGCUGUCACUUAUAGAUGGAUCCGCGCUGCAUUAGCUAGUUGGUAAGGUAACGGCUUACCAAGGCAACGAUGCAUAGCCGACCUGAGAGGGUGGUCGGCCACACUGGAACUGAGACACGGUCCCGACUCCGGCGGGAAGCAGCAGUAGGGAAUCUUCCGCAAUGGGCGAAAGCCUGACGGAGCAACGCGGCGUGAGUGAUGAAGGUCUUCGGAUCGUAAAACUCUGUUAUUAGGGAAGAACAUAUGUGUAAGUAACUGUGCACAUCUUGACGGUACCGAAUCAGAAAGCCACGGCUAACUACGUG
rnacentral:rRNA from 1 species